CACUUAUCUCUCGGUGCCUCUGUUCUUUCUUCACCCGGGGACUUAUCUCGUCCGAAGUCGGGGGCGAAUUUGUAAAACAAACCGUGAAACGCCCCCACCCCAGAGGCGAGGUGACUGGUUCCAGUUCAGAUGCCAUUGACAACACUUACAGCCUCCAGAAAUGACCCUUGGUGCCGACUUGUCUGGAAGCCAUCAGGCAGGCUGCCUCUGACACUCCCCUGGGAAGAGAGAAGAAGGGAAGAGAAAGAAAGCAGGUGGAAGAUUCCCCCGAAGGAACAGAUAGAAGAAACCACACCUGAUGGCAGGUCCCCUCCUACCUGAGGCUUUCAGCAUGGGAAGAGGAGUGAACUUCGGAGCUAGCUCCCUACGACCCACCCAGCCACCCACCAGAGGUGCCAUUAAAGUUAAUUGUUUUU